CUGGAGGAAAGAAAAGUGUGAAAUGGCUAGAACUGCUCUAUUAAGUUUUCACAAGUAUCAUGACUUUUGAUCAAGUCAGAACCUUCCUUUUACAAAAUGACUCCAGACUGCAUGUUGACAUAACCCCUUUCCCUUCAUGCUUGUACAAUGUGUCUUCAGACUUUGCCCUUGGAAUUUUACAGACAGAGCUGACAAUCUGGAG
rnacentral:lncRNA from 1 species